rnacentral:rRNA from 1 species
AGUGAACGCUGGCGGUAGGCCUAACACAUGCAAGUCGAACGGCAGCACAGUAAGAGCUUGCUCUUACGGGUGGCGAGUGGCGGACGGGUGAGGAAUACAUCGGAAUCUACUUUCUCGUGGGGGAUAACGUAGGGAAACUUACGCUAAUACCGCAUACGACCUACGGGUGAAAGCAGGGGAUCUUCGGACCUUGCGCGAUUGAAUGAGCCGAUGUCGGAUUAGCUAGUUGGCGGGGUAAGGGCCCACCAAGGCGACGAUCCGUAGCUGGUCUGAGAGGAUGAUCAGCCACACUGGAACUGAGACACGGUCCAGACUCCUACGGGAGGCAGCAGUGGGGAAUAUUGGACAAUGGGCGCAAGCCUGAUCCAGCCAUACCGCGUGGGUGAAGAAGGCCUUCGGGUUGUAAAGCCCUUUUGUUGGGAAAGAAAAGCAGCAGGUUAAUACCCCGCUGUUCUGACGGUACCCAAAGAAUAAGCACCGGCUAACUUCGUG